AAACAGUUCUUUCCAAAACUACGCUGUAAAUUCAAGAAUUUGUUGAAGUUAAAAAUCCCCUUCUUGAGGAUCCUCCAGUCCUGUCGAGAGCAGUUUAUGGAAGGAAGAGUAUCCCGAUGUUAUUAUUUCUUAUAAAGCAUUUGCCAAUCAUAAGAAAGGAAUCGUUGAUUGAUUUGAAAACAAGAAUUGCAUUUGCAAAGAAGAAAAAACAGGUCGUCCAUUACUAAGAAACGAUGAAGUGGUCGAAGACAAAGAAUGGAAGCGAGUUCCAGAAAAUCAAUCCGUCAGUUAAGUGCCCAAGCUGGAGUGUCUUCAUGCAACAUGCCAACGAAUUUUGCAUAAAGAUCUACGUAUACAUACACCCGUAUCGGGUUUCUGUUCUACAGCAACUGCAUGCUCUUGAUUAUGAGAAUCGACGUAAUUAUUGUGAUUGAUUUAAUAACAAUUUAAAUAAUAACGACUUAUUUGUAAAUUAAAAAUAAAUUAUUACUCCUUGGAGAGUGA